AUUACCCUAGGAUAUGCGUGAUGGAAUGGAUGGAAUCCUGAGCCAAUCUUCGAAAGAGGGAAUUCUGCUUUGAGUAGGGCGUGUAUGCCCCCUCGAUGUCACAUCGGGAGGGACACACAAGCUACUCAAGAGAAUACCCACCUGGUAAAACAGGUUUGAGAUUCCCUUUUCACACGGUAUCCCGGGGUCUUC
rnacentral:other from 1 species